rnacentral:tRNA from 1 species
GGAUUGUGGCUCAGCGGUAGAGUGCUCGCCUACUACAGGUGAGGCACUGGAUUCGAUCCUCAGCACCA